rnacentral:ribozyme from 1 species
UUUUCUUAUUUAUUUAUUUAUUUAUUUUUUACAUUUUAUUUAUCAUUAUCAUUAUUCGAACAAAGUGGUAUUAUUGUGCAUCAUUAGGUCUGAAAACAGACUUAAUACACAACAUGGAAUUAGAACAGAGAAGAAGAGUGAA